GGAGGAAUACCCAAGAGGCUGAAGGGGCGGGCUUGGAAAGCUCGUAGACAUGCAAGUGUGCCAGGGUUCAAAUCCCUGUUCCUCCGCCA
rnacentral:tRNA from 1 species